rnacentral:lncRNA from 1 species
UGGCUGCUCACCUUACUCAUUUGAACCAUUUCGGUUACCCAAUCGCGCGUCUUCUUGAACCCCGCCGCUCGCAGCACCGACAGCCGCCGCGGGAGCCGGACAAUACCCCAGGCCCGCCUCGCGCUGCCGCGACCAAUGGCUGCUCACCUUACUCAUUUGAACCAUUUCGGUUACCCAAUCGCGCGUCUUCUUCUAGCUAGAACCCCGCCCCCACGGCACCGCCUCUCUAACGGCUGUUUGUUUUUGCACACGGCACGUAGAGGUGGGGUUUCCAACCCCAACACUGACGCGCUUUCGGCUUCUCUCCACGCGCCGAGCUUGACGAACAGGAGGACCGACCAAUGGGGGCGGAAAAGAGCCAAUGAAAACAUCGCCCGCGAGAAAGGGAGGUAUGUUCGUGUUGUGACGGCUGGACCGCCACAAGUGGCGCCCGAACAGGGACUUGAAGAACAGGGACCUGAGUAUCGAGGGAUUCAGUGAAGGACACCGCUGGAUAAAGAAUAAAAGAAGAUCUCGUCAAAAAGAAAGAAGAGGACCUUCAAAAGGAAGGCAAAAGAGGAGCGGUGAGUUUUCUUAUAAAUAUUAAAAAUGGGAUCCCUGGUGUGAAUAUUCUGCAACAAUGCAUAAGAUUCUAAUAAGAUUACUGACAUUUAGAAAUUUGAAGAAAGGAGCUAAAGGUGUAGGGAAGGUGUGAUACGUAGGGGAAGAACAAAAAGGGAAAAGAAAAAAAUGUGAGAGAAUGAAAAGAUGAAAAUAAAGUGUUUGUAGAUGGGGAGGGGAGGAGGGGGUGA